rnacentral:lncRNA from 1 species
AAGAUAUAUCAAAAUAUUUAUAAAAUUAUACCAAAAUAUAUCAAGUAAACACAUUGAAAUUCAAAUUAAACACAAAAUAUGAGUUAAAAAAUUACAAGGAAGCAAUAUAAGACAAAUAGGUACUACAAAUGAAAACAUAACAUAUUGCUCACAAAGCAUAAAAUAAGUCAAAAAACAUUUCCAUAAUAUACUAAAUUCUUCAUCAAUCACGUAUGCUCCUCUUGAUGUCCAAAAUUUGUGGGCACACUUCUUUGAUCAAAAACCUACAAUAUAAACAUGUAUCACAAUUAGAAAUGUAAAUUUGAAAAAUAAAACAAGCUAUUUAAUUUUUUUUAUAAUACUCUAAAUUAUUAUAAUAUUAUAAAUACAAUCAUUAUGUGGAUUAUAGUAAAAACAAAUCUUUCCUUUACUGAAAAACGUACUAAUUAUCAAUUAAAUAAUAAAAAAUAAAAAUAUGUUUCAGCAUUUGAAAGAUACAUUAGCAAUUGCCAACGGAAAAUGUCAUCUAAUACGGUAACUACAUGUACUUAUAUGUAACUAGGGUAGAGUUCCAAAUACCUAAUGUAAGGAUGAGCUAACAUACACUUCCUUUCAAAUCUUCAUAGCUUCAAAACGUUUUUUUUUUCUUUUUUGGUGCUAAUAUUUAAAUACAUAUGAUUUUAAUAUUUACAUAUUUUUAUUAUAGUUAUACACCCUAAAAAGAAAUUAAAUAAUGUAUGUAAAGACUAAAAAAGUUAUAAGUAAAAUCUAUAAUGAUGUUUUUAUGUAUAAAAACUUUAAAAAAAAUGUAAUUAUCUAAACCAGAAAUUAAUCUUUUGGUUUGCUUUUAUAAUAAGUUACAUAACUAGUGCUACAGGUCUCAAAUCAAUUAGCAAGUUACAUAAGUUACAUAAUUUCUAAUUGCUUACUUUCCUCGUUAUAUAGAAAAUUAGCAACAUACUAUGUAUGAUUAAUCAUGUUCCAAUUAAUUUGAACCAUUAAUACCAUGGUUUCUUCAAAUAUCCUCAUACUAAUCAAUUUAAAAAAUUUAUAGGGUUGGUAGCUAUAACCAUGUUAUGCCUAUUUAAUAGAAAGAAGAAAGACAUAAUUGGACAGAAAAUGUAAGAGCAAAGCAUGGUACUGCUUUGAAUAGUAGCAGUUUCCACUGGCUGGACAUUAAGAAUCUCAUCAGUGUUUUUCAAAAUUGGUCUUCAUACUACAAGUGUCAUGGUUUUGUUGUGCAAGGUGAUUAAAUAAUUUAGAAAACUAAAACUGUAAGAAACAUGGCUCUUAAAAGAGGAUGAAAGAGGUUGUGCCAUGUGUUGAAUCUGUAGAACUAUGCUGGACAAAUAUUUGACCUAUUAUCCAAAGCAGACUAACUACUUAUCAAUAUGGUAUAUCAAGUAACAUGCUAAGGAAGUUGACAAGAACUUUUUGAUGUUGAUUAAGCCAUGUAAGAUAGUUUCCAAUUUUAGAAGAAAAUCUUGUAUUAUAUGGUUAGAUAUAACUUUUAUCCAAUAGCCAAUGCUGAGUGAGGAGAUAAUGCAACAUAGAAUCACAUCACAGUCAUAUAACUGUAGUGCUCCAUUUCAUAUCUAUUACAAAACAGUGUACUGCUACAGUAUCUUGCAAAGCAGAAAGAAAUGACAAUACACUAGUUGAUAAGUACAAGCAUUCAGAAUUACAAAAAGACAGGGUUUAAAUCCAAUUACCGGAUUGUGAAGAACCAAGUUUGGUAGAAGAAUGACCCAAAUGGAACUUCAAUCCAGCAACCAUAGUCGUGAGUGGUAAUGUAUCUAAUGAGCUUCUCAUCUUCCUUUAACCUUCUGUUGGUUCAGCAAGAGUGGUGACCCAUCUUAAAUUUCUUAACUUUCUUCACACACUUAACCCUUUCCCAUUUCCACAAAACUCCAAAAAUUAAUAACAACCCAAGAAGAUUAUAACAACCUAAAGAGAAGCUAGUGCAAGAUGAAAAUGAGAGAAAGAACAUUGCCGGUUGUUUCAUGCAGCGAAUAUUUGGUGCUAUGCAGCAAAUAAAGUGAGGCAUGGUGCUCUCCAACUGAUGCAUCAACUUGAACAAUUGAACCUAAAAGAAUGAAACUAUUUAGAUUUUUGCCCUUAACUAUUUCUCUUUAUACUUUCUGUACUUUGUUAUUCAAUAAUUUGAUUUUCAGGAGAGUAGGUUUAUAUUACCAUGUGUAAAUAUACUUUAACAAGCCUUAGUCAUUUCUUUUGAAUCUUUAUUAAGCACAAGAAAUGCUACAAAAUUACCUUGAACUUUGUUGCAACACUCUGCUUUUGAGACUGGUUAAAUAUUUUGGAGAAUAGCUGCAGCAAAUCACAAUUACAUGAUUUUGCUUCACAAACCAUGCUCUGAAUUUUAUCAAGAGAGUUUGUUUUACAAGCUUUAAAAGCUGAACAAAAUAAUUAAAAUAAUAAAACAUAAAGCUAAAAUUACCAAAUUAGAAUGAUAAAACUAGCAGAAACAAUGCUAUAUAUCCAAACAACUUCUGGUGUGUUGCUUAGCAUAUUCAGAGAAUUGUUAUAAUUUUUUCAAUAAGCACCUUACUCAUUUUGAAACAAGCAGCUCCAACUUUCACUUUCUUCCAAGAAAUAGCAAAUUGAUCAUAAGAAUAAAACUGGAUUUCUUGAUGAAAACAUGGAUUUGAACUAGGAUCGCCUUUAAUUAUCAUGUUUGGAAGAAAGAAGACCAAAAGAUCUUUAAAGGAAAUGCAGAGCAGAAAUAUUACUCAACUUAAAAGGGAUGCUAAAGAUGGAUAGUGUACUUAUAACAAAUUGCUCUGGUUUAAGGUAAGACUUACAUACGGUUCAAUAACUGUUGUUCUUCAAUUAGAAUAGGAGUUUCACCUCGUUAAUAUGUGGAGAAAGCUUUACAUUAAUUAAUUAUACAUAUUACCAAGGUGAAACUCUAAUUCUAAUUAGAGAACAGUACAAAUCACCUCCAUAGAACAGUAAGUAAGUUCUGCUCUUAGUUCAACUACUAAUAGACAAUGUUUAUGUGGAAUUUGGAAGUUAGAAACUUGAAAUGCAGAUAAUAUUGAUUUUAGAAAAAAAAAAAGUUGACUAAUGCUUUGUAUGUCUCGAUAACAAAAUAAGAAUAAUAACAACAAUAAUAAAUAAUAAAUAGAAAACAAAGAGGACUGACAUACCUAUUCUUUGUUUCAGUAUCUUCAUUUGCUGUUUGUAACUGAGAUCGGAGAACCCCCUGCAUUGACACAAAAGUAUCCCAAGCAUAAACAGUAAGUCUGAUUGAAUAUGAAAAAGCAUCAGCACUCAGCAGCUUAAUUCUCUUCCUCUCUACCCUUAAUUGAUACUAAACAAGGGACCAAUCAUUUUGUUCCUCUGUUCCUUCCCCUCUAACCCAAAGUUUGGUAUAAGACGAAGCACGAAGCACGGACCACAACCUCAAUCAUAAACCAUAGCCACAAAGAAUGACGAGAACGACGCACUAACGACGAAAAUAAUCUGAUUAGAAAAAUUAGGGUUCCAAGAUCAAUAAAUAACAAACACCACAUCACCAAUCACAGAACAUACCUGCACUUUUUUGUAGACAAGCGGUUCUAUGGUGGAGCGAAGGUUGAAGCAAGUUCCAUGGUGGAGUAGCAGAACCAUGUUCCGUGCUGGAAUAGCAGAAGCACAUUUCAUUGUGGAGCAGUAGAAUCAAAGGUCCAGUGAUGUGCAAUGGGAGUGACGUGAGAGUUGGACGAAAAUGAGAGUGAAGAAAAGUGAAAAUGGAAAUGAAAGGCGGAUUUAGGGUCUACCGGAAGUGAAGAGGAAAGGAAAAGAUAAAAACAAAAAGAAUUUGAAAUAAAAU